CCCGCACAAGCGGUGGAGUAUGUGGUUUAAUUCGAUGCAACGCGAAGAACCUUACCUGGUCUUGACAUCCCGGAGACCCUUAGGAAACUAGGGGUGCUUCCAUCUGGAAGAAUCUGGAGACAGGUGCUGCAUGGCUGUCGUCAGCUCGUGUCGUGAGAUGUUGGGUUAAGUCCCGCAACGAGCGCAACCCUUGCCUUUAGUUGCCAGCAGUUCGGCUGGGCACUCUAAAGGGACUGCCGGUGUUAAACCGGAGGAAGGUGGGGAUGACGUCAAGUCCUCAUGGCCUUUAUGACCAGGGCUACACACGUACUACAAUGGCCGAUACAAAGGGCAGCGACACUGCGAGGUGAAGCCAAUCCCGUAAAAUCGGUCUCAGUCCGGAUUGGAGUCUGCAACUCGACUCCAUGAAGUUGGAAUCGCUAGUAAUCGUGGAUCAGCAUGCCACGGUGAAUACGUUCCCGGGCCUU
rnacentral:rRNA from 1 species